GCCCAGCGCAGUGGCACGUGCCUGUAGUUCCAGCUACUCAGGAGGCUGAGGUGGGAGGAUCACUUGAGCCCAGGAAUUCUGGGCUGUAGUGCACUAUGCCAAUCGGGUGUCCGCAACAAGUUUGGCAUCAAUAUGGUAGCCUCCCAGGAGUGAGGGACCACCAGGUUACCUAAGGAGGGGUGAACCGGCCCAGGUCAGAAACAGAGCAGGUCAAAAACUCCUGUGCCGAUCAGUAGUGGGAUCGCACCUGUGAGUAGUCACUGCACUCCAGCCUGGGCAACAUAGCGAGACCCCAUCUCU
rnacentral:SRP_RNA from 1 species